rnacentral:misc_RNA from 1 species
GAUGAAGAACGUAGCGAACUGCGAUAAGUAAUGUGAAUUGCAGUAUUCAGUGAAUCAUCGAGUCUUUGAACGCACAUUGCGCCCCCUGGCAUUCCGGGGGGCAUGCCUGUCCGAGCGUCAUUGCUGCCCUUCAAGCCCGGCUUGUGUGUUGGGUCGUCGUCCCCCCCGGGGGACGGGCCCGAAAGGCAGCGGCGGCACCGCGUCCGGUCCUCGAGCGUAUGGGGCUUUGUCACCCGCUCGAUUAGGGCCGGCCGGGCGCCAGCCGGCGUCUCCAACCUUCUAUUUUACCAGGUUGACCUCGGAUCAGGUAGGGAUACCCGCUGAACUUAAGCAUAUCAAUAAGCGGAGGA